rnacentral:rRNA from 1 species
UGGGUUAAGUCCCGCAACGAGCGCAACCCUUGUCCUCAGUUACCAGCACGUUAUGGUGGGCACUCUGGGGAGACUGCCGGUGACAAACCGGAGGAAGGUGGGGACGACGUCAAGUCAUCAUGGCCCUUACGGCCAGGGCUACACACGUGCUACAAUGGUGCAUACAGACGGUUGCCAAGCCGCGAGGUGGAGCUAAUCUGAGAAAGUGCAUCGUAGUCCGGAUUGGAGUCUGCAACUCGACUCCAUGAAGUCGGAAUCGCUAGUAAUCGUGAAUCAGAAUGUCACGGUGAAUACGUUCCCGGGCCUUGUACACACCGCCCGUCACACCAUGGGAGUGGGUUGCUCCAGAAGUGGUUAGCCUAACCUACGGGAGGGCGAUCACCACGGAGUGAUUCAUGACUGGGGUGAAGUCG